GGGUAAUUAGCUCAGUUGGUAGAGCACUUGUUUGACGUGCAAGCGGUCGCUGGUUCGAACCCAGUGUUACCCA
rnacentral:tRNA from 1 species